rnacentral:rRNA from 1 species
UACGAAGGGGGCUAGCGUUGUUCGGAAUCACUGGGCGUAAAGCGCACGUAGGCGGACUCUUAAGUCAGGGGUGAAAUCCUGGAGCUCAACUCCAGAACUGCCUUUGAUACUGGGAGUCUUGAGUUCGGGAGAGGUGAGUGGAACUGCGAGUGUAGAGGUGAAAUUCGUAGAUAUUCGCAAGAACACCAGUGGCGAAGGCGGCUCACUGGCCCGAUACUGACGCUGAGGUGCGAAAGCGUGGGGGAGCAAACAGG